rnacentral:lncRNA from 10 species
UAAAAGAGCAGACAGCUGCUUGUACUGGCAAGAGAAUGAGAAGAGCUUGUCAGCACUCACUCUUCUACCCUUCCUCAGCUGAAUCACCACCGUCUUCCUCUUUACCUCAUUUUGCUCUCUCUUUGCCUGGUCCAGGAGCAUAGAGGCCAUCACCCUACCCUUUUGCCUCCAACUCUGGGAAAACAGAACAGUCUAAUCUCUCUUUCUCUGGUUAAACCUGCAUAAGUCUCAACUCUAAUACUUUAAGCAAGUCUGACAGUUGAUAAACUUCACCUUGACUCAUAAUCAUCCUGUCAAUCUCUCUCUUUAACAAACAUACAGAUCACUCAAUGUUCCAAGAUUCAUGUAAAAAGAAGUCUUUUGUUUUAAUCACUGAGAACUUCCGGAGAAAAGAAGAAAGGGUCUUGCUUUGUCACCCAGGCUGGAGUGCAAUGGUACGAUCGUGGCUCACGGCAGCCUCAACAUCUCAAGCUUAAGUGAUCCUCCUGCCUCAGCCUCCCAAAGUGCUGGGAUUAUAGGCAUGAGCCACCACACCCAGCCUGAAGUAUGUGAUCUUGGGCAAGUUAUUUAAUGUUUUUUAAGAUUCCCUUUCUUCACUUGCAAACUGGGAUAAAGAUAAUGUCUAUCUCAUGGGAAUGUUGUGAAGAUUAAAUGAGAUAGG